GCUCCGAUAGUGUAGCCCGGCCAAGCAUAAUGGCCUUUCAAGCCGUAGACCCGGGUUCGAAUCCCGGUCGGAGCA
rnacentral:tRNA from 1 species